UACAAGCUGCGUUGUACGUAAUGUUAAUAAAGUUUUAACCGAUAUGCUGUAAUAGGGAGUUUUAUCAUCGAAACCGGAAUGACAUGCCUCUGUCUAUAGGACUUGGAGGACAGGCAGAAAGGUUUUGCGCGAACACCCACUUUGAGGAGUGGUGGUUAAAAAACUUUCUUAAAUUGAAUUACGGCAAAUGCGGCUCGUAU
rnacentral:other from 1 species